rnacentral:rRNA from 1 species
UACGGAGGGUGCAAGCGUUAUCCGGAUUCACUGGGCGUAAAGGGUGCGUAGGUGGCCAGGUAAGUUCGGUGUGAAAGCUCGGAGCUUAACUCCGAAAUGGCAUUGAAUACUAUCUGGCUAGAGGGUCGGAGGGGAGACUGGAAUUCUCGGUGUAGCAGUGAAAUGCGUAGAUAUCGAGAGGAACACCAGUGGCGAAGGCGAGUCUCUGGACGACACCUGACACUGAGGCACGAAAGCCAGGGGAGCAAACAGG